GGUGAACGCUGGCGGCGUGCCUAAGACAUGCAAGUCGAGCGGGCCGCGGGGUUUUACUCCGUGGUCAGCGGCGGACGGGUGAGUAACGCGUGGGUGACCUACCCGGAAGAGGGGGACAACCCGGGGAAACUCGGGCUAAUCCCCCAUGUGGACCCGCCCCUUGGGGUGUGUCCAAAGGGCUUUGCCCGCUUCCGGAUGGGCCCGCGUCCCAUCAGCUAGUUGGUGGGGUAAUGGCCCACCAAGGCGACGACGGGUAGCCGGCCUGAGAGGGUGGCCGGCCAAAGGGGCACCGAGACACGGGCCCCACUCCUACGGGAGGCAGCAGUUAGGAAUCUUCCGCAAUGGGCGCAAGCCUGACGGAGCGACGCCGCUUGGAGGAAGAAGCCCUUCGGGGUGUAAACUCCUGAACCCGGGACGAAACCCCCGACGAGGGGACUGACGGUACCGGGGUAAUAGCGCCGGCCAACUCCGUG
rnacentral:rRNA from 1 species